GAUCCAGUGGAUCAUUUUUUUCAACAGCGCAUUUAAUGCUACAUUUAAUUAGAGAUAGGAAUGUUAGCAACUUGCUGCCCACGCCACUUGCCAUCCUUAAUCCUUAAGUAUGCCUAAUCAUUUAGGCAUAUCACCUUCUUUCACUCACCCCAUCACCAUCUAAAUUCUCUCUACACACCCAACGUGGAUAGAGGAUAGAGGAGUCGAGGAAGGAGAAUUUCACACAAUCGUAGAGUCAAACACUACAAUCGAACAACCCUUUAUUCCACAUCAAAAAGGUGAUUCCUUGCAAGCGAGAUGUGACAUCAUGGGAAAGAAAAUAAUUUCGAAUUAAGAUCUUGAGGUUGAGCAGCGAAGUGGUGCAGGAAGUGCUAUUGAGACAAGACAUUUAAUUCAGUCAGAUUUUGA